GCCCUCUCCUCCAGCUUAUGCAAAAAAAAGCUCUAUUUGUGGAGCUCUAACCCGGAAUGUCUGACUACAUUUCAGAGGUUUCAAAGUUUUCUCUGGGGGGCUGAAGUGGCCUGCCAUGAUGACGAUGAUGACGUUUAUAUAUAUAUAUAUAUAUAUAUAUUUGUAAUUCAGUGACAGUUGUGUCCUGAGGGGGGAUGUUUCAAAAAGAAAUAUGCCUGUGAGACAGCUGUGUCACAAAACUGUGGGUUUAAAUAAAACCAUAUAAAGGAAGAAAAAUAAUCUCCUCUUGAAGUUUCUUGAAGUACUGAUAGCAGUGUUUGCAUUGUCUAGAAAUAUUCAGAUUACCCUGCCUUCAGUUCAACUUUGAUUUCUCCUUCAAAUGACUAUUGGUGUAUAUUCCACCCAAGUGAUAUAUGACAUCAUUUUAAUUCACGGUUUCACCAUAUUACCAAUUACAACACGACGUCUGCUCUUUAGUUCAUCCAUUAAAAUGUAGUCGGAGGGCUCAGGAGGAAAUGUGUAUUCCAGACAGCGAUGAAUCUCAUAAAGAAAACAUGCAUAUUAAAUGAAUAUUUCAUGAAUAAUCUUGAUCUGGUCAUGCCCUCUCUUGAAAAAAAAAAGGUAUGCACAAAAUAUUGAUGGAUGUUCCGCCAUGCAAUACAUAAAAAAAUGUCUGAAAUCGAUUGGUCAUGUCUGAUAUGAUGCUUUAAUCCAGCCUUGACGUAUGCUUCAUUUGCAGAUUGGAAAUAAAUCGAAGGAUGCCCUUGGUACUGAGUGAACAGAUGAAUUCCUAUGAGAUUUGCUCAUGACAACACACAUGUUGGUCACCCAAAAUCUGCAUGAUAUGAUGUGGUUUCUACGGGCUCAUGGAGAAUUCAAACCUGGGGGCAUAUCCAUACUGUAUACAUUACAGCCUUGAUGUACCUGAAGCAGCUCCCUCGGAACAAUCUACAUUCCUUCACUUGCAACUGAGAGUGGAUACUGAUUCUGAACAACAAUUCAACUUAUUUUGGUAUCGUAUCAGCCAAUGGAAGAGGCUUCUGACACUGUUCAGAUUCACCGUCUGCAGAAUGGUGCCGAUCGGAGUUGGGAAUGUCUGCCAAUACAUAAUUUGUCACUGCAGCUUGGACUACAAAUUGACUACAAAUGGAAACUAGAAGACUUCCCACGCUGGAAAUCAAGACCCUUCCGUCUACCGAUUCUACAUUCCCAUGUAGAAGUGGAGAUUAUGUGGAACCCAAACACAGACGACAGACGAAGAGACAGACGAUGGUGAGCAGGUUUCUUGAAAUGCACUUCAGAGGAGACGAGAUGACUGGGCAUGGCUGGUGAAGUGACUAAGCGUGUGAGUGAGCGAGUAAACAGGCAGGUUAGCAGACAAGCUGGCUUACAUCAUGAUGCAGAUGAGACAAAGUCCUUGUUCAACCUGCCAGCCUAAAUCAUUUUGUUUUGUCACAUAUACAGAGAGUAGCCAGGUGGAUUUUAAACAACACAGUGACUUUUUAAAAAUUUGGAUGGAGGCAGCUACUCUAAUUCUAGUAAGAUUUCGACGGAUGUUUCAAAGAAAUGUCAUUCUGGCUACUCAGAUUUACAUAGAAGUGUCUUUUUAUGUCGCUGGCCACACAGUACACAACAUCAACCUCAAAUCCAAAAUGACUGGUUGGCUUUAGUAGAAUGGUCUUCGUCUACAGCUAUAGGUCAUUUCCAAUGCUGUUAGUCAGUUGCAAAAAUCUAGUCCUACUGCCGGAUUUAAAACAAGAUAAUUUGCUUGCUUGAAAUUCACAAUUUUUUCCAAAUAUUUCCGCAUCCAAAAAGCUGUGUCACCAACCCAAUGUUAAUGAAGGAAGCUAUUUUUGAUUUAGUCUUAGGCUGUGUCUGAAACCACCAUACUACAUAUUGCCUACUGCAUAGUCAAAAUAUAUAUAUUGCAUACUAACCCGACCAUUAGUAACAUACUUAAAAAGGAGUCUGCGACGUACUUCUGGUUGGACCUGAGUAACUUUAAUCACAGUGUGCUUGUGUGGGAAAGAACAAUAUGUUAAGAAAACUCUACCCAAGGUUGUGAUGUUGUUCAAGAACAGCCAACUGGUUGUAUCAUUGUUAGCCUACCAGAAGAGGUCAUGAUGUUUUUAUCUUUGUUUGUGAUUGGCCAAAAUGGCUUUACAGUAGAGCCCGACUGAUUUAUCGGCCAGCCGAUAAAAUCAGCUGAUAUUAACAUAUCCAGUGACUAUCGGCAUUGGAUAGUUUUAUCGCAGAUGUGCGCAGAUAUUAUGAGAUUUAUCUACUCGUCAAUUAGCAUUUCAUUUGAGUAUCACCGUAUUACAGAAGCACCUCUCGUUCACCAGCAGAGGGUGCUAUAUGGAUUACACAAAGCAUCAUCACUCUCCAGAGAAAGAUACUGGCCAAUAUUGUAUAUCGGUAUCAGAUUUUUCUCACCCUAAUAUCAGCCCCAAAAAUCAAAAUCUGUCUUGCUCUUGCCAGCACGUAACAAUGCAUUUUUGCGUCCUUAUGCGGACAAAGAUGUUUUUGAGAACUUAAUUAAUUUGAACAGACUUAUUUUUUGAAACAGAGGAGGAAGAAUACUGUGCACGAGGCAUUAUUCUAAGCACUGAGUGUGCCCACUCGUGCAAAUAAUGUGGAAAAGAAAGCUUUCAAGUGUCAACGACAUUCAUCAUGUCACGCAGUAAAGGCCCUGAAAAACAGAAAUGACAAUAGGUGCAAUACAGUUGAAUAUGGGCAGAGAUUUCACCGCUGGAACUUCAAGAAAAAAUGUUGUUGUGCAAGCUGAGGGAUGAGCUAUUUCAUCAAACAGCAUGGGCUCCCAUUAUACAGGCCGCCAUGUUCACCUUCCACGUUUGGACCAGCUUAGUCAUCGCAGAUGAAACAGUUGUGCUCCCAUUAGUCGAAGCAAAUAGAGGUCCUUGAAGGCUUCGGUCAGGGUCAAAUUUAAGAGUCAAAUCUAGCUAGGGGAGCUAUCAAUAAGAAUGGAAAGAACUUCUGAGUCAUACAAGAAAAAGAUUCCAAGAGGUGAGUUUUUCAGCUCUGGAAACCAAACCGAGGUGAGGUUGGUGUUACAUUGUAUCCUCCUGUAUUCUACCUGUGAAGCCUCAUGGAUGAAACAUAACCCAGUUUUUCUCAUCAAUGUUGGCAAAAGGGAAGGGAGAAAAACCUGAAUGUGGGUGGCAACACUGAAUUCCAAGACUAGAUUAUGUUCCCGUAGCUGUUAAGAACAUGAUGCACCUGCUGAGAAAUCACAACACUCCACUCAACGACACCUCACUUUAACCACCAGUUUACUGCCUGAGAGUGUUUUUUCCUCUGGAAACAUAUAAGUGUCUCUAAAAGGUUAAUUAAUGAAAACAUUGGAUGUAUUAAGGACAUUUCGCUCCACUCCGUGUGCGUUGGAUUUCUACUUCCCUUCAACAGAUAAUGGAGAAAAAAAACCUGCCUUGUCCUCGACAAGAAAGGACAUUAAGUCCUUUUAUCUGAAGAUAAAGUCAAGCACCUUCUCUUACCUAACUGAACAUAUUAAUAGCUCAAAUAAAAGGACUCAGUGUUUGCUUAUUUGAUUCAAAUAAAGUCAAAGAGAGUGUCUCUUCUGUGAUUUUCAUUCUUUUCUUUAGUCAAACUUUACU